CGACUCGAGCGCCAGCGAGAGAACGUUGCCGCAGGCAACGGCCCGAAGGGCGAGGCGCUUUAGCGCCGAGUAAUCCUUCCCCCACCACCA
rnacentral:sRNA from 1 species